GACGAACGCUGGCGGCGUGCUUAACACAUGCAAGUCGAACGGAAAGGCCCUGCUUGCAGGGUACUCGAGUGGCGAACGGGUGAGUAACACGUGGGUGAUCUGCCCUGCACUUCGGGAUAAGCCUGGGAAACUGGGUCUAAUACCGGAUAGGAGCCAUUUUUAGUGUGAUGGUUGGAAAGUUUUUUCGGUGUAGGAUGAGCUCGCGGCCUAUCAGCUUGUUGGUGGGGUAAUGGCCUACCAAGGCGGCGACGGGUAGCCGGCCUGAGAGGGUGGACGGCCACAUUGGGACUGAGAUACGGCCCAGACUCCUACGGGAGGCAGCAGUGGGGAAUAUUGCACAAUGGGCGCAAGCCUGAUGCAGCGACGCCGCGUGGGGGAUGACGGCCUUCGGGUUGUAAACUCCUUUCGCUAGGGACGAAGCUUUUUGUGACGGUACCUAGAUAAGAAGCACCGGCUAACUACGUGCCAGCGCCGCGGUAAU
rnacentral:rRNA from 1 species